UACAGAGGUCUCAAGCGUUGUUCGGAUUCAUUGGGCGUAAAGGGUGCGUAGGCGGCGCGGUAAGUCGGGUGUGAAAUCUUGGAGCUUAACUCCGAAACUGCAUUCGAUACUGCCGUGCUUGAGGACUGGAGAGGAGACUGGAAUUUCCGGUGUAGCGGUGAAAUGCGUAGAUAUCGGAAGGAACACCAGUGGCGAAAGCGGCUUCCUGGUCCAGCACCGACGUUCAGGCACGAAAGCGUGGGGAGCAAACAGG
rnacentral:rRNA from 1 species